rnacentral:rRNA from 1 species
AACUUUACAAUGCUGGCAACAGCGAUAAGGGGACCUCGAGUGCCAGGAUACAAUCUUGGCUGUCGCGAUGCCUAAAAAGCAUUGCAUAGCAAGGGCCGGGCAAGACCGGUGUCAGCCGCCGCGGUAACACCGGCGGCUCGAGUGGUAACCGCUAUUAUUGGGUCUAAAGGGUCUGUAGCCGGCCGGAUAAGUCUCUUGGGAAAUCCAGCAGCUCAACUGUUGGGCUUUCAGGAGAUACUGUUCGGCUCGAGGCCGGGAGAGGUGAGAGGUACUUCAGGGGUAGGGGUGAAAUCUUGUAAUCCUUGAAGGACCACCAGUGGCGAAGGCGUCUCACCAGAACGGUCCUGACGGCAAGGGACGAAAGCUAGGGGCACGAACCGGAUUAGAUACCCGGGUAGUCCUAGCCGUAAACGAUACUCGCUAGGUGUCAGCCACGGUGCGACCGUGGUUGGUGCCGUAGGGAAGCCGUGAAGCGAGCCACCUGGGAAGUACGGCCGCAAGGCUGAAACUUAA